UAAAAAGUAAGCUAAUUUUAAGCUUUUGGGUUCAUACCUCAACUAUAGAUAAAUUCUCUUUUUAA
rnacentral:tRNA from 1 species